rnacentral:lncRNA from 1 species
UUCCGAUGUUCAGAUCGAAGUCAUUUCCAGUAUUCAGACUGAUGAGCGGCAUUCCGGCCAUGGUUAUUUCUGUGUUACCAUUUAUUUUGGUAUGCAAGUUAACAUUCUUUAUUCAGACUGACUCUCACCGUACCAGACGGAUUCUUCUUUCAAGACCACCUCUUUGCCGAUUCUGACAGACAUUGUUACUUCAUUUCACUUCAGUGCAAAUUUUUGGGCUUUUAUUGUAUUCAAUCCCUUGAUACCUCGAAAGCACGAAAGN